AGGACGAACGCUGGCGGCGUGCUUAACACAUGCAAGUCGAACGAGGUUAUUUGAUGAGAUCUCGGAUGGAUUCGGAAUAACCGAGUGGCGGACGGGUGAGUAACGCGUGAGCAACCUGUCUUACACAGGGGGAUAACGCUCCGAAAGGAGUGCUAAUACCGCAUAGGACCACGAUGCUGCAUGGCAUUGAGGUGAAAGGAGCAAUCCGGUGUAAGGUGGGCUCGCGUCCCAUUAGAUAGUUGGUGAGGUAACGGCUCACCAAGUCGACGAUGGGUAGCCGACCUGAGAGGGUGAUCGGCCACAUUGGAACUGAGAUACGGUCCAGACUCCUACGGGAGGCAGCAGUGGGGAAUAUUGGGCAAUGGGCGAAAAAGCCUGACCCAGCAACGCCGCGUGAGGGAAGAAGGUCUUCGGGUUGUAAACCUCUGUCCUAAGUGAAAAGGAAGGAUGGUAGCUUAGGAGGAAGCCCCGGCUAACUACGUGCCAGCAGCCGC
rnacentral:rRNA from 1 species